ensembl:lncRNA
AGAGAGAGAGAAAGAGGAGAGGUGACGCGAGAGAGACAAGGAAGGACCGCACCAUACAGUCUCAGAGAUCGGUUUCUGUAAGAGUCCACUACGUGAGAUAGAUCUGUACUCUCUCUCUACCAGUGUUUCUCUAUGGUCAUUCCACCGUGGAUGGGCACUAACAUACAGCUCAUUGAGAAUCUACUGUUGUAGGGAAGACUCGGAGAGUCCAGCCUCUUCAGACCAGACUUGAUGGGAACAUACUGUUUGGAAAGAGUGGAUGAUGGAUUACACGGACUGUUAGAACAAUUAAUCACACAGGUGAGACAGGGAGAGACUCUGAGAAGAUGAUAGCAUACGUGGACUGUCUGUCCACCGAGCCGGUGGUAGGAGGAGGCGUGGGGGCUCAAUGCUGGAAGGGGGGCUUCAGCGAGGAUGAGGACGAGCUGCUUCCGGCCUGCUCGAAAGAUGUUCAAAAGAUGCUCUACCUGCAGCCCAAGAGCGAGGGCAGUCUGAGACGUCGGCUGCUCACCUCCAAGAUCCACCAGCAACGAGACGGACCGUGGGCGUCCAGGCCACUCGCCCGGGGACAACCGGACAACAAUGGCAUCCAGGGGCCACUACACAGACAGGACUUCCCCUACCCUGGCCCCAGCCCCCCCGGCCUGGUGCGCCACCAUCGAGCAGGCUACUCCUCCAGGGGCUCCCAGCAGCACACGCACGGCCACUGCCUGACCCAGCUACGGAAGACCAGCUACUCUCCCCCCACACCCGACCAUCAUCCUGGGUACAGCUUCCCCCCACCACCUCUUUCUCCUCCAGGAGCAGCCAGCUACAGUCACACCGGACCUUCAGGAUACCCAAACCCUGGACCCCCAGGAUAUCCAAACUCUGGACUCCAAGGCUACCCUAAUCGUGGAUCUGCUGGGUACCCCAACUCUAACCCAAGACACUGUAACCCAGCCUACAACACCAACCCCAGCAGCAGCCCUAACCCAGGACACUAUAACCCAGCCUACAAAACCAACCCCAGCAGCAACCUUAACCCAGGACACUGUAACCCAGCCUACAAAACCAACCCCAGCAGCAGCCUUAACCCAGGACACUAUAACCCAGCCUACAACACCAACCCCAGCAGCAGCCCUAACCCAGGAUGCCAAAACACUGCCCAAGGACACAGCAACACUUACCUCAACUCUGGAUAUCCUUCCCCAAGACUGGGAUACGGCCCUCCCUCCCUCCCAGGACCAGGCUACAGCUCUGGGUUUGCUCCCCAGUCCCAGCCCAGCCUCCCCACUCCACCACCAAAGCAGAGAAAGAGGUUCUAUAACCUGCUCCGACGGCGCAGCUACAACACCAGCCAGAUCCCCUUCUCACACACCCCCCUCUUACACACACCCAAACGUCAAGACUGGAGAGCUGUCAGACUGGAUGAGGACAAAAAGUGGUCGGUACACUACACUUCCCAGAAGCCUCAGCAGGAGACACGACCCUCUUGUGUGGAUGACCGCCGCACCGUACUCAGAGAGUGCAGCAAGAAGCUCAGGAGAGUUGGGUAUGGCAGUUCACAGUACUUCUCCCAAAACCCUGCCUACCUCAGCCCCAGCCUAUCAGAGAACAGGCUGCAUGAUGACAUGGGCAGGAACGACAGACACCGGAAAAGGUAAACACACACACACACACACACAGACACAGACACACACACAUGCACACGCACAAAACACGCUCACACACACACACACACACACACACAGACACAGACACACACACACACACACACACACACAAACUCUCCCUCUGGGGAAGACUUAAUAUAAACUAAUGAUUGCAACACAACCUCAUCACAACUUUAAUCACAAUCCAAACAAGAUAUCAGAUAAGAUAUAAGGG